GCCGAUUGUUCACUGUGAUCUUAAGCCGAGCAACGUCCUUCUCGACAAUGAAAUGACGGCGCACGUGGGCAAUUUCGGGUUAGCAAAGUUUCUGCGGCAACCGCCUGACGAAUCAUCUGAGCGUUCAUCUACCAACACUGUGGGAAUCAAAGGAUCUAUUGGUUAUGUUCCUCCAGGUGAGAAAUAAGCAAUAAAAUGGUUACUUUUUCCUAAUUUACAGCAUUUCAGAAAAAAAUAUAACAUUUCUUUAUUUGAUUCCUAACUGUACUAUCUCUAAUAUUUUUUUUGCCGCUCACUGUCUUUUAAAGCAAAAACAAGUGAAUAGCAUGAAGUUUAGUAAAUAAAAUUAGAAAUUUAGUGUAAACAUUAGUAUAAAAGGAGAAUAAAAAAAUAUUGUAGGAAAUAAAAAGGAUACUACAUAUUAGCUACAAAAACCAACAUACUAGAUUUAGAAUUAACUGCUUGAUGCUUACUACUAAAAACUGAUUAAUUAUAAUCACUAAACUCACAAGAGCUGGAACUUCAUUUCUUCAUAUCUAAUGCUAUUUUUGAAUCAAUAUAAAUAAUCUAAAAGAUCAAAUUUAGUUUUUGCAACUAUGGCUUGGAAGCAGUAGGAACCACAUCCAAAUCCAAAUGAAUUCACUUGAGAAUCUUGUAUCGUCGGUUUCCAAUUUACUAAUGUUGUGCAGAGUAUCGAAUGGGCUGUAAACCCUCUAGGCUCGGCGAUGUGUACAGCUUUGGAAUUCUUCUGCUGGAGAUGUUCACUGGAACAAGCCCCGUCGACGACAUGUUCAAAGAUGGACUGAGCCUUCGUGGAUAUGUUGGUGCUGCUGCUGCUUCUCCUGAACAUCUCAUGGACAUCAUGGACAGAAACCUGCACUCAGCUGAUAAUGAUAUAGCUUAUCGAGAAGAGUGUGUGCGAGAUUGCGUAGUUUCGGUGUUUGACUGCGGUCUCUCGUGCUCGAACGAAUACCUGCACUCAGCUGAUAAUGAUAUAGCUUAUCGAGAAGAGUGUGUGCGAGAUUGCGUAGUUUCGGUGUUUGACUGCGGUCUCUCGUGCCCGAACGAAUCGCCGUACGAACGAUGCGACAUGACGAAAGUCUCAAAGGAACUGAGUGCAGCAAGAGAGAGGCUUCUUAGCUAAAUGCAGUUUUGCUCUCUAUGCUACAGUUCUCACCGGAGGCAAAUGAAUAUAUGUUUGAACCAUAGUCAGUUAAUUCGGAUUCGGCAAAAAUUCGGUACGGGUAUAAUUCGGAUAAAAUUCGUCUUCUAAUUUUUAAAUUCGUUGAAAAAAACGGUUAAAAAACGGAUUCGCCAAUUAUUCGGAUACGUGAUUUAUACGGAUAUUAUACGUUCACUAAUUAAAAAUUCGGGAUAAAAAAUUCGGCUAUUAAAUUAAAUUUUUUUCCUCUCAAGAUUUAUGCUAUUAGCAUAAAUACUCAUAUUUUUUAAAAAUAUAAGAAUAAAAAGCUACAAAAUUAAACUAAUUAAGUAAAAAAAAAUAGUAAAGUAUAUUAUACCUCAAAAUAAAGAAAUAAUUAAGCAAAUAAGAGGCCAAGAUAGUCCAUAUUUAAAUGUAAAAGCUUCCAACUUUUGCUUUGAAGAAUGAAAACUCAAUUAGUACCUGGUCCCAAAGUUAUGCUUUAAAAAUUAAGUAGAAACCCCAGUGAGUCAAUGGUCCAUGAAAGACCACAACAAAAUUUUCCUUUUGCAAGUGUCGACAAAGAUCAUGAAAUUGAUUAGGUAUAAUACAAGAGUUCCUGGUCCCAAAGUUAAUUAAGAUUAUUUAUUUAGCACUAUGUUUGGGUCUUCUUUGUGCAUAACAGAGAAUGGACACAUUCAAUUAAGCACUCAGCCACUUGUGUAUAAAACAAUCCAUCAGAUGACUAAAAGCUUCCAACUUUUUCUUUGAAGAAUGAAAAAAACUCAAAUCGUACCUAACCGAGUUUGUAAAGAACCACCCGAUUACUGAUCUAUCGUUGGAUAGCGGAAGGGGGAGAGGAAGAGGAAGCGGAAGCGGAAGAGGAAGAGGCGACGAGGAGGGUUUCGAUUUCUGAAGAGUGAAGAACCCGAUCUUCGAUCUUCGAUUUCUGAAGAGGAGGGCUUCCGAUGGCGUUCGGCGAGCGGCCGGAAGGGAAGAGGGAGACCGCCGCAGGGGUCGAUGGCAGGGCCGCACCGCCGCAGGAGUGAGAAGUUAGGGCAAACCCUUUUUUCGGGAGGGGUGGGGGUGGGAGCGUGGAG
rnacentral:lncRNA from 1 species